rnacentral:rRNA from 1 species
GCCAGACUCCUACGGGAGGCAGCAGUGAGGAAUAUUGGUCAAUGGGCGCAAGCCUGAACCAGCCAAGUCGCGUGAGGGAAGACGGCCCUACGGGUUGUAAACCUCUUUUGCCGGGGAGCAAGCCUGAGCACGUGUGCCCAGGCGGAGAGUACCCGGAGAAAAAGCAUCGGCUAACUCCGUGCCAGCAGCCGCGGUAAUACGGAGGAUGCGAGCGUUAUCCGGAUUUAUUGGGUUUAAAGGGUGCGUAGGCGGACAGUCAAGUCAGCGGUAAAAAUGCGGUGCUCAACGCCGUACAGCCGUUGAAACUGGCAGUCUUGAGUGGGCGAGAAGUAUGCGGAAUGCGUGGUGUAGCGGUGAAAUGCAUAGAUAUCACGCAGAACUCCGAUUGCGAAGGCAGCAUACCGGCGCCCGACUGACGCUGAGGCACGAAAGCGUGGGUAUCGAACAGGAUUAGAUACCCCGGUAA